AUUUUAUUUAUAUAUUGUAUUUUUCUUGUUAGGAUAAAGAUAAAGCUAUUCAAAAUUUGAUAGUGGACCUUGAAUAUUGCAAAGCACUAAACAAAGAAUCAGAAAAAUUGAAAGAUACACUAAAGCACCUUGAAGAAGAAAUGACUAGCACAAAGAAAACUGUUGAAGAAUUAAGCGGUGACCUUAGUAAUAAAUUGCA